rnacentral:rRNA from 1 species
CACGUAGGGCGCAAGCGUUGUCCGGAAUUAUUGGGCGUAAAGAGCUCGUAGGCGGACUGUCACGUCUGCUGUGAAAAGCUGGGGCUUAACCCUGGCCUUGCAGUGGAUACGGGCAGACUAGAGGUAGGUAGGGGAGAAUGGAAUUCCCGGUGUAGCGGUGAAAUGCGCAGAUAUCGGGAGGAACACCAGUGGCGAAGGCGGUUCUCUGGGCCUUACCUGACGCUGAGGCACGAAGGUCAGGGGAGCAAACGGG